rnacentral:rRNA from 1 species
AACGAACGCUGGCGGCAGGCCUCAAACAUGCAAGUCUAGGGGGUGCAGCAAUGCAUCACCGGCGGACGGGUGCGUAACGCGUGGGAAUGUACCUUUUGGUUCGGAACAACUGCGGGAAACUGCAGCUAAUACCGAAUGUGCCCUAACGGGGAAGAUUUAUCGCCAAAGGAUUAGCCCGCGUAGGAUUAGCUAGUUGGUGAGGUAAUGGCUCACCAAGGCUCCGUAUCCGUUAGUC